UACAGAGGUGGCAAGCGUUGUUCGGAAUUACUGAGCGUAAAGGGCGCGUAGGCGGCCUUCUAAGUCAGACGUGAAAUCCCCAGGCUUAACUUGGGAACUGCGUCUGAUACUGGGAGGCUUGAGUGCGGGAGAGGGAUGUGGAAUUCCAGGUGUAGCGGUGAAAUGCGUAGAUAUCUGGAGGAACACCGGUGGCGAAGGCGGCGUUCUGGACUGUUACUGACACUGAUGAACGAAAGCCAGGGGAGCAAACGGG
rnacentral:rRNA from 1 species